AGGUGAAAAUUUGUGAUAUGCAAAUGCGUGGCACACCGCGAGACUUACUUCCAGGAGACCCUAUUUGUAGUCCAGUAGCAGCAGUGCUGGCGGAGGCCACUAUUCAGCUUAUCCGUAUCCUUCACCGAACAGACCGUUGGACUUACUGCAUUAACAGAAAAAUGAUGGAAAGGCUGCAUAAAAUUAAGAUAUGUAUUAAAGAGUCAGGUCAGAAGCUAAAGAAAAGCCGCUCGGUUCAAAGCCGAGAGGAAAAUGAAAUGAGAGAGGAGAAGGAGAGCAAAGAGGAAGAGAAAGGUAAACAUAAUAGACAUGGCCUUGCUGACCUCUCAGAGCCGCAGCUGAGGACCCUUUGCAUAGAGGUGUGGCCUGUGCUGGCAGUGAUAGGAGGAGUUGAUGCUGGUCUUAGAGUUGGAGGUCGGUGUGUUCACAAGCAAACUGGGCGCCAUGCCACGCUGCUGGGAGUGGUCAAAGAGGGCAGCACGUCUGCCAAGGUCCAAUGGGAUGAAGCAGAAAUUACCAUCAGGUAUGAUCUGUUGAGUUACACUUUUAGCAAACGAGUAUUUUAUGGUGAAAUGGGCCUAUGGACAGUGAGUAACUGUAUUUUAGAUGAGCUGCCAGUUUUUAAAAUAUUUUUUUUUCAUAUAGCUGGGUAUGAGUACUGUGAUUUCAUAAAGGAAUAUAUUCCAAAGCCAUGUUACCUGGAAUAUUAGUGGUUUAUAAGAUACAUGGGUUUUGUUUUGUUUUGUGAAGAAAUGGUAAGCUCACUAAUUUAGGUUUAACUGGGAUCUGUCUUUCUGUUUUUCAUUUGGCUGCUUGCUUUUUGAUCAUUUCCAUUACACACUGGGGUAGAAAAAAGCCAGCCAGCACAUUUGUCAAUUACAUUUUUGUAGGUGGGCUUUGAAUGUGGGCAGGAACAUUUGAGUGACUAAAAUUCCUAUCCCUUCGGGGUACAAUAUUUUGGGUAGAUACGGAAAUUACAUUUAUUUGACACAAACUGUAUACUUAAAAGCAUUUAGAUGUCUUUGCAAUCACAUAGGAUUUGUGUGAAAUAGAAACUUCAUGUUUUAGAGGAAAUGUGUCAAGAAUCUUCAUUGAUAAGGGGACUCAUUUAUCUAAUGAUUCUACAUAGUUGCAUCAUUUGAAAAUGUGAUUUAUUAGUGAUAAUACAUAACUAUUCAUUGUAUUGCCUGAAGUGAUUGUUCUAUAGUGGUUUUUUUUUUAAGAUU